AAUUGUAAUUUACCUGUUAUUCUGGUAGAUACAAAAAUUAAGAUUUUUUUUUAAAAUAAAUUAAAAGCAGCUAGGAUCGACGAAGCUUCCUUUAUGUUCUAUUUUUAAUUCUAUUGAUGUUUACUGUUAUUUUGUCAUUUCCCUCUGAUUUCAAAAGUGCUUCAUUUUUUUUCCUUGUCAAGCUACCUGGGGAAAAUUUAAGUAUUUCCUUUUUGUUCCUUAUGAUGUAGUCUUGGUCCUUAGCUGUGUGGCUGACAACUGUUCAUAGUGUAUCUUACUGUGAGAAAUUCAAGAAGAAAUUUAAGCAGGAAAAUCCUAAUGCGAAGAUUGUGCUAGCUGUUACUUUCAUAAUCAUGUUUCUCCCCUCCAGGUCCUCCUAGGGCCAUGUGUCUGCAGUUUCCCAUGGGAAAGGAAGGCCAAAAGAAAAGAUCAAAUUAUCAUCCAGUAUAAACAAUUGAUGGCCUAUGAAAUUUUUUGUUGAUGACUUCAUGUUCCUUGGAGACUUUACUCCUUACUGUGAGGUAUUUCAAGAAGUUGACAAAGGAAGUCGAGAAAGACCAAGAGCUAGAAUGAAGGAUCAAAUGAAGAUCCAUGAGCGCAUAGCAAUUUUCUACUUAAAGGCCACCCUGGUACGACUUGCAUAACAGAGAAUGAGAGAAAUGGAGAAAUAGACACAACAGAAAUAGAGAAUUCAGCCAUUUUCACAGGAAACAACCUAUGAUAAUAGGUUUGGAUCAACCCGCAACAAAUCUCCUCAUAUACCCUCCUUUUCUCCUGAGAGAUGUCUUAUCAAUAAAUUGUUAUAAUUUGAUUUGGAGAUGCUUGCUUCCCCAAAAUAGUGUCUGGGAGGGAGCAAAGGUUUACUAUACUCGAAUGUACAUGUUAUAAA